GGCUUUAUAUUCAAUAAUGAUAUUAAAUUGCAAAUUUAAAGGUGUUAAAAAACUAAAGCUU
rnacentral:tRNA from 1 species